rnacentral:snRNA from 1 species
AUACUUUCCUGGCAGGGGAGAUAGCAGGAUAGCGAAGGUGGUUUUCCCAGAGUAAGACUUAUCAUCCAAUGUACUGCAAAUCUACUGACCGAUCCCUGCAUUUUCCACAAAUGUGGGAAAUUCAACCACACAAUUUACGACGGCAUGUGUGUGUGUGUGUGGGAUUCAUUCACAUU